rnacentral:tRNA from 1 species
GCCCGGGUGGUGGAAUCGGUAGACACAAGGGAUUUAAAAUCCCUCGGCCUUCGGCUGUACGAGUUCAAGUCUCGUCCCGGGUACCA